CCUCAAUCUGCCCGGAGAAGUCACGACAGGAGAGUGGUGAUUGGUGCAAGCAACAUGGGAUGAGGAGACGAGGGAGAUUAUGCUCCUGAUUUCCUCACCUGGACACCAGGACCCAGGCGAGGGAAUAAUACAUGCAGGGCAAUGGAAUCCACUUCUACUGAGCUCCCUUGAGCAGAAGUUAUUGAUUGGACCCAGAGCUCACCAAUUUGCAAAUCAUUUCUAGGAAUCCCCCCUCUGAGGACCAUACUAUCCAGCUCUCCCCCAUCUUUUUAACGUCCUUACUCUCCCCUGAUUCACUUUGCAACACAUUACUACUGAAAGUUCUUUGGCAAUUGUCACUUAGAUGCUAAAUCCAAAAGGUUUCCUAUUUUAACUUGGGGGAUUCUGUUGACCCCUUGUUUCUUGACAGAUUCUCCAGAAAUUAUUUUUUUCUGUGUCUUCUCAUACCUGUCUGGCCAUUCUUUCUUGAAAGUUCUUCCUCUCCCCAUUUCUUAAAUAUGAAUAUGCCUCGGGCUUCUUCCUCAGCCAUCUUACCUUCUCGUCUGCCUUGCUCUCCCAAUGAUUUGAAUCACUACCACCCAUGUGUCAGUGACCUGACAACUCACAGAUCCACACCACCAGGCUCUCUCCUGACCUUUAAAUCUGUGUGUGUGUCCAACAGGCAGUUGGACAUCACUAACUCAGUGUUUCCCUGAAACUCCAAUUCCACAUGCCUGAAAGAGUAGGUUCUUUCCUGGCACCCAAGCAAAAGCCUGAAAAUCAUGUCAACCCUUCAAUUUCAAUAACCACUUUUUAACCAGUCACUGAGCAUUGUUAAUUCUUUUUGUUAUCUCUUAUACCUCUCUUCUCUCCAUUUUCACUCUAAUUUCUCUAAUUUGAAAUUUCAUUUUCCUUUGCCUAACAUAUUAGCUUUUCAUUUUGAUAAUUUUCAAAUAUACAUAGAGUAUAAUGAACCCUGAUAUAUCAUCUGGAUUCAAUAAUUAUUAACUUUCGGUCAGAGUUACUUCAUCUAUUAUUUCUACAGUGUUUUAGAGCAAAUCUAGACAUCAUGACAUCUCACCCAUUAAACUCUUCGGUACACUGCUUUAUUAUGCCAGAGUAACAGUAUCACACGUAACAAAAUGCACAAGAAUACCUGAAUAUUAUCUAAGACUCUAUUUGUCUUCCACAUUUUCUCUUUACAGUUGAGGCUUAGCCAUAUAGAUAGCACAUAGAACUUAUUUCUUCUGAAAGGGCCUAUUGAAGUCUCAGGUAAGUUAGACUGUACUAAAGGACAGGCUUUUUUUUUUU